rnacentral:rRNA from 1 species
GACGAACGCUGGCGGUAUGCCUAAUACAUGCAAGUCGAGCGAACAGAUGAAGUGCUUGCACUUCUGACGUUAGCGGCGAACGGGUGAGUAACACGUAAGGAAUCUACCUAUAAGCGGGGGAUAACAUUCGGAAACGGGUGCUAAUACCGCAUAAUAUCUUCUUCCGCAUGGAAGAAGAUUGAAAGACGGCUCUGCUGUCACUUAUAGAUGACCUUGCGGUGCAUUAGUUAGUUGGUGGGGUAAUGGCCUACCAAGACGAUGAUGCAUAGCCGACCUGAGGGGGUGAUCGGCCACAUUGGGACUGAGACACGGCCCAAACUCCUACGGGAGGCAGCAGUAGGGAAUCUUCCGCAAUGGGCGAAAGCCUGACGGAGCAAUGCCGCGUGAGUGAAGAAGGCCUUCGGGUCGUAAAACUCUGUUAUAAGAGAAGAACAAAUUGUAGAGUAACUGCUACAGUCUUGACGGUAUCUUAUCAGAAAGCCACGGCUAACUACGUGCCAGCCGCCGCGGUAA